rnacentral:rRNA from 1 species
CAGUAGCCGCGGUAAAACGUAGGGUGCAAGCGUUAAUCGGAAUUACUUGGCGUAAAGCGUGCGCAGGCGGUUAUAUAAGACAGAUGUGAAAUCCCCGGGCUCAACCUGGGAACUGCAUUUGUGACUGUAUAGCUAGAGUACGGCAGAGGGGGAUGGAAUUCCGCGUGUAGCAGUGAAAUGCGUAGAUAUGCGGAGGAACACCGAUGGCGAAGGCAAUCCCCUGGGCCUGUACUGACGCUCAUGCACGAAAGCGUGGGGAGCAAACAGGAUUAGAUACCCCGGUAGUCCCUGUCUCUUAUAC